rnacentral:rRNA from 1 species
CACGUAGGGUGCGAGCGUUGUCCGGACUUAUUGGGCGUAAAGAGCUCGUAGGCGGUGUGUCGCGUCGGCCGUGAAAACCUGCAGCUUAACUGUGGGCUUGCGGUCGAUACGGGCAUCACUGGAGUUCGGCAGGGGAGACUGGAAUUCCUGGUGUAGCGGUGAAAUGCGCAGAUAUCAGGAGGAACACCGGUGGCGAAGGCGGGUCUCUGGGCCGAUACUGACGCUGAGGAGCGAAAGCGUGGGGAGCGAACAGG